rnacentral:rRNA from 1 species
AGAGUUUGAUCCUGGCUCAGGACGAACGCUGGCGGCGUGCUUAACACAUGCAAGUCGAACGGAAAGGCCCUUUCGGGGGUACUCGAGUGGCGAACGGGUGAGUAACACGUGGGUGAUCUGCCCUGCACUUUGGGAUAAGCCUGGGAAACUGGGUCUAAUACCGAAUAGGACCAUGGGAUGCAUGUUCUGUGGUGGAAAGCUUUUGCGGUGUGGGAUGGGCCCGCGGCCUAUCAGCUUGUUGGUGGGGUGAUGGCCUACCAAGGCGACGACGGGUAGCCGGCCUGAGAGGGUGUCCGGCCACACUGGGACUGAGAUACGGCCCAGACUCCUACGGGAGGCAGCAGUGGGGAAUAUUGCACAAUGGGCGCAAGCCUGAUGCAGCGACGCCGCGUGGGGGAUGACGGCCUUCGGGUUGUAAACCUCUUUCAGUAUCGGCGAAGCUUGCGGGUUUUCUCGCAGGUGACGGUAGGUACAGAAGAAGCACCGGCCAACUACGUGCCAGCAGCCGCGGUAAUACGUAGGGUGCGAGCGUUGUCCGGAAUUACUGGGCGUAAAGAGCUCGUAGGUGGUUUGUCGCGUUGUCCGUGAAAACUCACAGCUUAACUGUGGGCGUGCGGGCGAUACGGGCAGACUGGAGUACUGUAGGGGAGACUGGAAUUCCUGGUGUAGCGGUGGAAUGCGCAGAUAUCAGGAGGAACACCGGUGGCGAAGGCGGGUCUCUGGGCAGUAACUGACGCUGAGGAGCGAAAGCGUGGGGAGCGAACAGGAUUAGAUACCCUGGUAGUCCACGCCGUAAACGGUGGGUACUAGGUGUGGGUUUCCUUCCUUUAGGGAUCCGUGCCGUAGCUAACGCAUUAAGUACCCCGCCUGGGGAGUACGGCCGCAAGGCUAAAACUCAAAUGAAUUGACGG